UACGGAGGAUGCAAGCGUUAUCCGGAUUCAUUGGGUCUAAAGGGUGCGUAGGCGGGAUAAUAAGUCAGUGGUGAAAUCCUACAGCUUAACUGUAGAACUGCCAUUGAUACUGUUGUUCUUGAGUGCAGUUGAAGUGGAUGGAAUGUGUCAUGUAGCGGUGAAAUGCUUAGAUAUGACACAGAACACCGAUAGCGAAGGCAGUUCACUAAACUGUAACUGACGCUGAGGCACGAAAGCGUGGGGAUCAAACAGG
rnacentral:rRNA from 1 species